GACGAACGCUGGCGGCGUGCUUAACACAUGCAAGUCGAACGGAAAGGCCCUGCAUUUGUGGGUUGCUCGAGUGGCGAACGGGUGAGUAACACGUGAGUAACCUGCCCUUGACUUUGGGAUAACUUCAGGAGACUGGGGCUAAUACCGGAGAGGAGCUCCCGCUGCAUGGUGUGGUUUGGAAAGUUUCGGCGGUUGGGUAUGGUCUCGCGGCUUAUCAGGUUGUUGUUGGGGUAGUGGCUUACCAAGGCUUUGUCUGUUGGCCGGCCUGAGUGGGUGACCGGCCUCAUUGGGACUGACAUACGGCCCAGACUCCUCCGGGAGGCAGCAGUGGGGAACGUUGCACAAUGGGCGGAAGCCUGAUGCAGCAACGCCGCGUGCGGGAUGACGGCCUUCGGGUUGUAAAGCGCUUUCGCCUGUGACGAAGCGUGAGUGACGGUAGUGGGUAAAGAAGCACCGCCUUACUACGUG
rnacentral:rRNA from 1 species